rnacentral:lncRNA from 1 species
AAAAAAAAAAUCGGGGUAACAAACUAACACUGAGGGAAACGCAUUAAGUAUUAGAGGAGAACAACGACACAACAUUAAAAUGUAACACACACAGCAACGGACUAAGCAUUAGACAAAAUCCGAUGAGAAUAACCAAUAUAACAUCAAAACCAAAUACAUGAAUUUGGGAUAGAAAAGUACCGUGACACGUCUUAUAGUUAUGUGAAUUCACACUCAAAUAU